rnacentral:rRNA from 1 species
AUUGAACGCUGGCGGCAGGCCUAACACAUGCAAGUCGCACGAGUGGCGGACGUGUUAUUAAUGUCUGGGAAACUGCCUGAUGGAGGGGGAUAACUACUGGAAACGGUAUCUAAUCCCGCAUACCCUCGGAUGUGCCCAGAUGGGAUUAGCUAGUAGGUGGGGUAACGGCUCACCUAGGCGACGAUCCCUAGCUGGUCUGAGAGGAUGACCAGCAACACUGGAACUGAGACACGGGCCAGACUCCUACGGGAGGCAGCAGUGGGGAAUAUUGCACAAUGGGCGCAAGCCUGAUGCAGCCAUGCCGCGUGUAUGAAGAAGGCCUGCGGGUUGUAAAGUACUUUCAGCGGGGAGGCGUUACCCGAAGAAGAAGCAACGGCUAACUCCGUGCCAGCAGCCGCGGUAAUAC